CAGCUCUCGGGGAAUCCUCCGCUUCCAGGGGCGUGAGCUCAUCAGCUGCUGCCCCACAUUUGGGGGGGGGGUCACAGGUGAGGGCUGCAGCUUUGGGGGUUCAGGUGUUUGGGGAGGGAUGCAGGUUUGGGGGUUCACGUGUUUGGGGGCUCACAGGUGAGGGGGCCUCAGUUCUUGGGGGGAAUCCUCCACUUUUAGGGGCAUGAAGCUCAUGAGCUGCUGCCCCACAUGGGGGAUCACAGGUAAGGGCUGCAGCUUUGGGGGUUCAGGUGUUUGGGAUAGCUCACAGGUUUGGGGGUUCACGUGUUUGGGGGCUCACAGGUGAGGGCUGCAGCUUUGGGGGUUCAGGUGUUUGGGGAAGGAUGCAGGUAUGGGGUUUCAGGUGUUGGGGGGCUCACAGGUGAGAGGGCUCAGUUCUUGAAGCUCAUGAGCUGCUGCCCCACAUUGGGGGGGGUCACAGGUGAGGGGUGCAGCUUUGAGGGUUCAGGUGUUAGUGAGGGGUCCAGGUUUGGGGGUUCAGGUGUUGGUGAGGGGUGCAGGUUUGGGGGUUCAGGUGUUUGGGGAGGGAUGCAGGUUUGGGGGUUCAGGUAUUGGUGAGGGGUGCAGCUCUGAGGGUUCAGGUGUUAUUGAGGGGUGAAGGUUUGGGGGUUCAGGUAUUGGUGAGGAGUGCAGGUUUGGGGGUUCAGGUAUUGGUGAGGGUGCAGCUCUGAGGGUUCAGGUGUUUUGGAGGGCUCACAAGUUUGGGGUUUCAGGUGUUGGGGCUCUCACAGGUGAGGGGGGCUCUGAGGGGCUCAGCACUUGGGGGAAAUCCUCCAGUUUUAGGGGUUGUGAAGCUCAUGAGCUGCUGCCCCACAUGGGGGAUCACAGGUGAGGGCUGCAGGUUUGGGGGUUCAGCUGUUGGUGAGGGUGUGAAGCUUUGGGGGUUCAGUUGCUAGCCUGGAAUUCCAGUGAAUUUUUGGGAAUUAGAUUGUGGAAAGGCCCCCCUGCCCCCUCGGUUCUGAGGUACUGUUUAGUUUGGAUUUUUCUGCAAGGAGGCUUUUCCCUGUUUAGCACUGAUUCUAUUCCAUGGUAGGGAAAAUCUGCAUUAGCCUGGAAUUCCAGGGAAUUGUUGGGAAGCAGGUUGUGGAAAGCCCCCCCAAAGCCCCCUGUGUGCCCAGCCCCAAGGUAGCACUUAAUUCUGAAUUCCAGUUCUGGAAUUCCCAGAAUUGCUUGCACUCUGCAAUGGGAAAAACUGGCACUAACCCCGAAUUAGGUUCAAUUUUUAAUGAUCAGAUUAUGGAAAGCCUCCUUGGGCUCCCCUGUAUCCCCCAGCCCCAAGGUACCCCUCAGUUUGGGAACAUUUUUGUGCCAGGAAAGUUUUCCCUCAUUAGCACUGGUUGUACUCUGCAGUGAGGAACUUCACCCCAGAACUGGGGUGAAUUUUUGGGAAGGAAAUUAUGGAAAGCCCCCCUGGACCCCCCUGUGUCCCCCAACCCUGAGGAACCCCUUAAUCUGGAAACAUUUUUGCACUGGGAAGCUUUUCCCUGAUCAGCCUUGGAAAAACUGGCAUUAACCCCAGAUUAGGUUCAAUGUUUAAUGAAUAGAUUAUGGAAAGCCCCCCUGUGUCCCCCAACCCUGAGGAACCCCUUAAUCUGGAAACAUUUUUGCCUCAGGAAGCUUUAGCAUUGCUCAUACUCUGCAACGUGGGGAAAACCACAGAGCUGGGGUGAUGUUUGGGAAGGAGAUUGUGGAAUGCCCCCCUGGACCCCCCUGUGUCCCCCAACCCCGAGGUACCCCUCGAUUUGGAAACAUUUUUGCCCCGGGAAGCUUUUCCCUGAUCAGCCCUGGCUGUGCUCUGGGAUGGGUAAACCAGGCUCAGCCCAUUCUGGGGUGAAU